UUGACAUAUAUCAAUUCAUUAUGUUAUACUGCAGUAGAAACAAUAAGGUGCCUUCCAGUAGGGGACUUUGUUUUGCAUGGCAAUACUUCAUUCACUUGUUCUAUUUGUGUUAAGGGGAAAUUGCAUUAUAGGAUAUGACCAAAGACUAUAUUAAACUUAAAGCUAUAAGUUCAGGUGACAUUUAUGCUCAGGUGACAUUUAGUGUAUGUUAAAAUUGAAGCUAUAUGCGCAGGUGACAUUGAUAUUCUCUAGAAUGUGAUUGAACAUUUAUUUUGGUCAUGUGGAAAUAGAUACAUUUCAAUGAAUCUGAUUUGAAAGGAAAGGAAACAGUGCAUCAUUUCUUUGUAGCAAAUAUUAUAGUACACAGUCUAGUAUGUAUGUUUGCUUGUCAGAAAUAAAGAUGUACAGACUUUUAUUAGUCUGAAAUAUAUUUAAAUCGUGAGAAACAUUUUGUUUAAAGAAUCGUAAUGCAGACUACACACUAGUUUUUCUUAUUCAUAUAUUUAAUUACCUGUAUUUUUUUAAUUCGAGUUACUUUUAUAUUGAUAUAUUUCUGAUUUUUAAUCAAUCCAUUGAGAGUUGAAUUAACUGUACGUAUGUAUGUAUAUAAGAAUAUAAGACGUUGUAAGCCGCACAUAAGACUAAAUCAUAUAUUUAGCUAAAAUUUAAGGUGAAAAGAUCUUUGGACAUGUAUUUAAAACAUAUGUUGUAAUCGAGAAAUACUGAUACUAAGUUUCAUGUAUGUUUUCGGCAAAUGUUUUCGUUGCGCUAAUUUACUGGAACUAUAUUAUGUUGGUUAUUACUUAAUAGCAUUUUUAUAACUUAAGUUGAAACCCGAUAUCUCGAACUCACUUAUCCAAUAAGUCUGGCUAUCUCGAAUAUAUUUCCAAGUCCCGUCCCAAAAUACGUGCACAAAAUAUCAUUUUUAAGUAGACAUUCGGUUAUCUCGGCCUAAAACGAUCGAUCCCUUGGAAUUCCUGAUACCGAAUUUCAACAGCAUUUACAUUUGUACUUUGAAAAUUAAACCGAAAACACUACUUGUAUGUCUGUAUUAUAGAUUUCAUUAACUACAUUUUUCCUACCUUCAUGCGAAGCAAAGGGCAAAAUUAAGGGCUAUAACAAAGUUUGCCUUAUCAUGUCAGAGGCGCAAUAAACCUUUGUCGCCUGUCGGGCUUCUUUUUUGACAUAGGUUGCGCAGUUAACACGUUGUGAAAUUUAAACACGUUUUAAAAAUCGGAAACGUUCUGGCCAUAUGUAAA
rnacentral:lncRNA from 1 species